rnacentral:lncRNA from 1 species
UUUUUUUUUUUUUCUGGAUUCUGAAGAUUUUUUUUCAUCAUUUGUCCUAUGGUUUUGGUUUUAUUUUACUUCAAUGGCAUUAUUUUAUUUGCAAUAACAAAAGGAAUUGCAUGUAUGAAGUUUUAAAUUGUGGGCUUUUCUUUGUUGCGGGGAGGGGGCAGGGGGGGUAGUUUCAUUUCCAUUUUCUAAAAAGGACAGACUUGGAUUCUGUUUGUGUGUGUGCAUAUUUUAUCCAGCCUUAAGUUAUAAAUCUCAUCUGUCCCACUGCAUUCCCUGUGUAUUUUCAGGACCUAGCUCGUGGGGGUGUGUGUUCAGUAUGUGUGUCUGUGUAUAUUUUUCUGUUGUUACUGUUCCUUCUCCCAAGUUUGCAUUCAGUUGAUAAAUCAGUUGCCUGCUUCUUUCAAAGUGCUUUGAAGGUCUUGAACUCACAUAUGAGCAUCCUUAUUGAUAUCCCAAUUGCAUGUUCUCCAUCACAUAUUCUCUCUUAUUUGCUAGAUACCCCCUGAGAAUAUGUUUUAGAGAUUUGGAGUAAAGCUGUCUGGAUUUGGAGUAAAGUAGGCUUGGCAGACCUGUGAAUAAUACACUUUAGUCUAGUUCUUUCUUCUAAAUUUGGAUUGCCAGUAUUAUGUAUUUAAACCAAGUCUGUGAACACCUGCCUUUUUGGCCACAGGGUAAAAAGUUUUCAUAUAAGAUCUUCAUGCCAAAGUAGGAAGUAAAAAUAGCUUAGAAAGCCGUGUUGGGUGUCUUGUGCAGCUGACAGAGGUAAGGUUACAUCACCUCGAAAAAGAAAGAAAGUCAAUUAUCCUAAAAGUGAAUUCUCUUUGGAAAAUACAGUGCACCACACAUGUCAGUCUAGAAAUCCACUAUCUGAUAAACAGUUGAAAUGCAAAAAUAGGCUUGAUUCUUGGUUAUUUUUACUCUCGUUCUGAGUGUACUUCUUUUUCUUAGCCUGGCUAUCUUGUUUGUUUUACUUGUUCUUCACCUUUUAAAGAGAAGCAUGACAUAGGAAAGUGGAUUUAUUUUUCUUUUUUUUUUAGAAUUCAUGGAUCAAUCUGAUCUAUUUAUUAAUAAUGGAACAUGUAAAUAUAGUGAGAACUGUUUUUCAGGAGAUGAGUGUGGGUUGGAGGGAAAGAAGGUGGUUCUACUUGUGUUCCAAAAUCCUCAUUAGAGAAGGUAUCACAUUCUUCAGGGAGUACCUGAGGGUGUGGGAAGUAUCUUCUAGCUGAUGGAGAGGCUUAACCAGUUUAACAAAAAAGAUAAAAAGAAGGAAGGGGCAUAACAAUUACUGGUUUCCCAGACUGGAUUUUUCUUUCACAACUGUUCAUGUUCUCAGAGUUGUUCACAGAGUUGAUGAAGGACCACCUUUGUGCAUAAAAGUGUCGUUUCAACCUUGCAGUGGUAACCAAGCAACCUACUUUUUCCGGGUAGUAUUCAAGAUGGCUGUAUCUUCAGUUGUAUGAUAAAAUUAACGGUUCACAUGACUGUGUGGCAUCUAAAAAUAAUAUCUGUUUUUACAGCAUCUCUCUGCCACUAAUUUGUUGACUUGAAUUUUGAAAAACAAGUUGGUGUUGAUAUGUAUAUGUGUGUGUGUAUAUAUGUAUUUAUAGACAAGUGUGAGUGACACGUGAGUUAUAUAGUCUUCCCCUACGCAUGUGUAUUCCACACAUACAUGGCUGAGUUAUAGUCACUAAACAAUUUGCAAUAAAAACAAAAGAUUCAUUGUCAGUAAAAACAGGAAUUAAGUUUUUUAAUGAAUCUGCUCUUAUGGUGAAUAAACUCUUUAAGAACUCUCAUAGCUAUAUUAACUUAGGCUAAUAUUUAAUGGUACCAUAAUUUGUGUCUAAAUUCAGAUUGGGAUAGAAAUCACUCAAGUUGUGGAGUGUUGCUUCUUAUUUCACACGUAAUAGGGAACAUUUCUAUUAAUUCAGCUACCUAAAAUGAAUAGUUUUCUGUAUUUUUGUUUGUUUUUAUGACGUCAUUAGUGGCCUCAAAAUUCUGAUCAAUAACUUUGUGUAUGAUGCUGAAUUCUAAACACUUUGAUCCAGUUGAAAACCCAUCCCUCUCCUUCCUUCAGCCCAGUUUUGGGGAUGGUGAGUUUCCCUCAGUGUCCUGCAUUAUGCCAACCUAAGGGAAGAACAGGUAAUAGGGAGAAAGAAAUGUCUGUCUAGUGGCUUUGGUCAUGUCUUCACAAGGAGAAAUGAACCAUUCGAUUGUCUUUUGAUUUUAGUUCAUUCCACUCUAAGGAGUUUGUUUCUUUCUGUUGACUUUCCAAAGUGUUGCCUGAGUGGUAGCUAUCAUUCUGUUGGUCUCAUGGUUGAUACUAGUCAAUCAAACUGUCUUGAUCUGUACUAGUUACUGGUACAGUCAUGCACUGCCCUGUCCUAAGUUAAAAAAAGAAGUGCAUAGUCAUUUCAUCUGGUUUUUCCUUAGCCUACCCUCGCUUCCCUGCCCAUGCCAAUGUUGACAUGCUGUCUGCGGACACAUUGUGGUUCUCAGAGUCUUUUCAGCAAGCUAUCACCGUCCCCUUGCCGUGGUCUUUCAUAAUAGUUGUGCAUAGGAUUGUGUUUCUGUACAGUACUCUCUGUGUGUAGGUGUGGGUGGGUGGGUGUAUGCACACACACCCACCCACGCACACAUCUUUGAUAAAAUAGCUGUUUGACUUAGGGUUGAAGUGGCUUUUAAUCAUUUUGUGGGCAUUAUUGGACACAUCUUUUUAAAACAGUCUGAACCUUAACCAUAACCACACUUGGUUGACUAAUUUAUUUUGAGCAUUAAAAUUUUUCUUCUGUUAACUUAGACAUUAUCACAUUUCUGUAUCAUUACUGACUUAGGAAAGAUUGCACUUAAGCUUCUGUUAAAUGUGAGUUUUUGGCAGAUUUUCCUUAGAGUCAAAUGUCUGAAAUUGAAUGAAAAUAUAUAUCCCAAUUUUAAAUGAACUAAUUGUGGAAAGAACAUUUUUAAAUAGUUCCAAGUUUAAAUACAUAAGACACUUCAAGAUCUUCAGGACUUUAAAGCACAUUUAAAAUUAUUUUAGUAAGAAUUUUGUUUUAUCAAUACGUGUUGAAUUGUUUUUUAAUUAAAAAAAAAAAACCACAAAGCUUGGAUUUCAGAAAGAGGGAGGGAGAAUAGCUGGUGGUCCCAGAGUGCGCUGCUGUUAAUUGUUUAAUUAACAAAGGGGAAAUGUAUAUAAACAGAUAUAAAAGUUACCAUAAAUUCCAUGAACUUAAAUCUGUGAUUCAUUGCCUUAAAACUUUCUCUCUUAGAAUUUCCAUACCGCAUGCCAAACCAGUAAAAUGGCUUUUAAAAAUGUAUAGUAGACCAAUGUCAGUUUGUAUAAAAGUACCAAGUGAAAAUAUUUAUUACAUGCAUUGGAAAAAAAUUGUUUACCUAUUGAAUGUUACCUGUUUAUGUAGAGCUCUUUAGAUGUAAUAAAAGAAAAGCCUUCA